ACAGCAGUAGCCGCGGGAAUACAGAGGGUGCAAGCGUUAAUCGGAUUUACUGGGCGUAAAGGGCGCGUAGGUGGUUAUUUAAGUGAGAUGUGAAAGCCCCGGGCUUAACCUGGGAACUGCAUCUUAUACUGGGUAACUGGAGUGCAGUAGAGGGUAGUGGAAUUUCCGGUGUAGCGGUGAAAUGCGUAGAUAUCGGAAGGAACACCAGUGGCGAAGGCGGCUACCUGGACUGAGACUGACACUGAGGCGCGAGAGCGUGGGGAGCAAACAGGAUUAGAUACCCCCGUAGUCCCUGUCUCUUAUAC
rnacentral:rRNA from 1 species